AGGGAAUAUUGGACAAUGGGCGGAAGCCUGAUCCAGCCAUGCCGCGUGCAGGAAGAAGGCCUUCUGGGUCGUAAACUGCUUUUUUCUGGGGAUAAAAGACCCGUGCGCGGGGCAUUGAAGGUACCAGAGGAAUAAGCCACGGCUAACUACGUGCCAGCAGCCGCGGUAAUACGUAGGUGGCAAGCGUUGUCCGGAUUUAUUGGGUUUAAAGGGUGCGUAGGCGGUUCCAUAAGUCAGUGGUGAAAUACGGCAGCUCAACUGUCGAGGUGCCAUUGAUACUGCGGAACUUGAGUACUGAUGAGGUAGGCGGAAUUGACGGUGUAGCGGUGAAAUGCUUAGAUAUCGUCAAGAACACCGAUAGCGAAGGCAGCUUACUAAGGAGUAACUGACGCUGAGGCACGAAAGUGCGGGGAUCAAACAGGA
rnacentral:rRNA from 1 species